CCAGAGUGGCCCCUCACACUUUGCUGUCUUGGGCCCAAAGGUGCUACAGUCCUGUGUGUUUUUGGGACAGUGCUGUGUGGCUUUGUCCUGCUCAAGGCUUUCAGGAAGAGGAAGAGAAAAUCCAUCUGCACCCAUGUGUUUAUCGCACUCCAGGGAACUCUCUGGAAUGGAGAAGGAACCUGAGUGGCAUUUGUCUGCAAUGGAAAACAGAAGAAGAAAAGCCCUGUCAGCUGGAAAGUGUCCGAGUCCCAGGGAAGGGCCCUCUCUCUGCGGCUGCUGGGCCUGUUAUUAAUACGAAGGUAAUGACAUUAGGACGCCUGAUUAAGUCAUCUGCCCCGGGCCCUGCCACCCUGAUCCCGGAGUUACAGCCUCAUUUUUCAAUUAUGCUUUAAUUUGAACAUCUUUGAAAACGCCUGGCGAGUGAAAGAGUCUAGGAGGAGAAGAGGGCUCAUAUCGGCCCUCUCACCCUUUUUUUCCUUUCCCCAUGAAGUGGAUGAAGCACAUUUCCAAGUUAGAGAGGUCUGGGAUCUCUCCCCAAAUCCUGAAGCUGAGACCCAAAAAAAGAAUUUGUUUAGCUGCC